CGGCCAGACUCCUACGGGAGGCAGCAGUGGGGAAUAUUGCACAAUGGGGGAAACCCUGAUGCAGCGACGCCGCGUGAGUGAAGAAGUAUCUCGGUCCGUAAAGCUCUAUCAGCAGGGAAGAAAAUGACGGUACCUGACUAAGAAGCCCCGGCUAACUACGUGCCAGCAGCCGCGGUAAUACGUAGGGGGCAAGCGUUAUCCGGAUUUACUGGGUGUAAAGGGAGCGUAGACGGCAGCACAAGUCUGGAGUGAAAUCCCGGGGCUUAACCCCGGAACUGCUUUGGAAACUGUGCGGCUGGAGUGCAGGAGGGGUAAGCGGAAUUCCUAGUGUAGCGGCGAAAUGCGUAGAUAUUAGGAGGAACACCAGUGGCGAAGGCGGCCUGCUGGACGAUGACUGACGUUGAGGCUCGAAAGCGUGGGGAGCGAACAGGAUUAGAUACCCGAGUAC
rnacentral:rRNA from 1 species